ensembl:lncRNA
UACUACAUAACCGAAGCUGUGAACAGAUUCUUCAACCCGGAGCCCGCCAACAUCCCCGCCAACGUCCCCGCCAACGUCCCCGCCAACGUCCCCGCCAACGCCAGCGAGCGCGUCGACUCUGGUCCCACCGGAGGUGAUGCCGGCGCAAGGAUCGCCGACGAGGAGCGGCCUCCUGCGACAGCCUCUCUGCUGAGCUCAUCACGGCCACUUGUUGCCUGGGAAUUUUGCACCACAGAAAUCGACUUAGGAGCUGAAGAAAACGUGGCACACGAAGCCCAGCCGAGCGGAGGCACACAGAGAAAAGCAUCCGGGCAAAGUGAGGGCGCGUGCGGAGGACACGUGGGAAAUGAGGAUGCCACGCGGCCGAUCGCAGAUGAAGACGAACGAGAAGAAAACCGGGAACGUACCUUGAGCGCCGGCAGGAGGGAUGAUGAUGAUGAUGAUGAUGAUGGUGGUGGUGGUCAUGGGGAACAUGCAAACACCAGGUGGCAAAAUCUCACAGGUGAUGCAAUGAGUGACGACGUGGAGGAAAGUGGGAGAGAAGCCGGAGACAAAGAGGAGACAAAGAGGGCAGUGACACCGGAGCAUUUUGAAGAGAUGGGUGAAGCCGUGAGAAAUAUCCAUGGAAAGGAAGCAGAAAAUAAAAUGGAGCACAAAGAUGAAAAAGGUUUACAGAACACAGACAUCGGGGUAAAUAUAUGUCCGAUCACAGAUUUGAGUGCAGAAGAAGGGGAUGAGGUGCAUGUGCAUGAAGCGGAGUCAACGGAGACGCAUGAGGAAGUAGAAGAUACAAAACCAUUUGAAAUCCAACAGGAUUUCAGGGGAGACGCAGAGUUCACCUCACUGCACGUCGAUCUACAAACGGCCCGCGACAAUAGCGACAUCGAGUCCGAGGAUGAGUCAUACGCUGUUGAGGGCGAUGGCGUUGAGAAGGCGAAGGAGGCGGAUGCUGUCAUUGAGGAGGAAUAUGAGAAAGAGGACUCAAACCACCGCACAACAGAGCCGGAGGNNNNNNNNNNNNNNNNNNNNNNNNNNNNNNNNNNNNNNNNNNNNNNNNNNNNNNNNNNNNNNNNNNNNNNNNNNNNNNNNNNNNNNNNNNNNNNNNNNNNGGCAAAGUGAGGGCGCGUGCGGAGGACACGUGGGAAAUGAGGAUGCCGCGCGGCCGACUGCAGAUAAAGACGAACGUGAAGAAAACGGGGAACGUACCUUGAGCGCCGGCGGGAGGGAUGAUGAUGAUGGUGGUCAUGGGGAACAUGCAAACACCAGGUGGCUAAAUCUCACAGGUGAUGCAAUGAGUGACGACGUGGAGGAAAGUGGGAGAGAAGCCGGAGACAAAGAGGAGACAAAGAGGGCAGUGACACCGGAGGAUCUUGAAGAGAUGGGUGAAGCCAUGAGAAAUAUCCAUGGAAAGGAAGCGGAAAAUAAAAUGGAGCACAAAGAUGAAAAAGGUUUACAGAACACAGACAUCGGGGUAAAUAUAUGUCCGAUCACAGAUUUGAGUGCAGAAGAAGGGGAUGAGGUGCACGUGCAUGAAGCGGAGUCAACGGAGACGCAUGAGGAAGUAGAAGAUGGUGACGGUGUACCAGAGAUGGCCUGUAUCAAGUCUGACGAAGGAGCAAAACCAUUUGAAAUCCAACAGAACUUCAGGGGAGACGCAGAGUUCACCUCACUGCACGUCGAUCUACAAACGGCCCGCGACAAUAGCGACAUCGAGUCCGAGGAUAAGUCACACGCUGUUGAGGGCGAUGGCGUUGAGAAGGCGAAAGAGGAGGAGGCAGAUGCUGUUGUUGAGGAGGAAAAUGAGAAAGAGGACUCAAACCACCGCACAACAGAGCCGGAGGACGCCGUCGAAACCCUCGCUGGAGAAAGUGAAAGAGAAGACGUAUUGACUGAGGAUGUUCCACGCUGUGAAGAAGUCGUGCAGAAUGCUGAACCGGAGCCGCGGGCGGCUGACUUCCCGGACGCAGGACAAGUGGAUGUGGCUCCGAACGCUGACGUGCAAACCGAAAGCAGAGAGGUGGGUGAAGACGAGACAGAAGACAUGGUGGUCAAAUCUGAUGGGACAACGACGCAAACCUCAGUAAGCGCGGGACUUUUUGAAAAAGAUAAAGUAGAAGAAGAGAGGCUCCUCGGUGAAGAAGGCAAAGAAAGUUUCAUGGACGUGGCAGGUACACUUAACGCCGUUACGGUAGAAUCCGAAGGCGAGACUGCGCAGGAAAUGGCAGCAGCGAUUAAGGAUUUUCCCACGGGGAAAUUUGAAGGCCGGCUCGCUGUCUCGGCGCUCAACUUUCCAUCGUGUGAGGAAACACAAAAGGGAAUUCCUGAGUAUAACAAUGUGCCAGGGCCAGAUGAAAAUACAACACAAGUGCUCCUGGAGGAAGGAGAUUGUGAGGACGCCCAGGGCGAGGUGGGGAGCAAAGCGGCAGAGAGCCUUCAAAACAGUGGCUGUGGAACCGGUGCUGACUAUUUAGUGGUGAUGGAGCAUAUGGAAGAGGAGCAAGAGAGCGUGGGAGAUGUUAAGAACAACUUUGAUUCUGGAUUGCCUCAAGAAACAGAGAAACCGCUCCAAGCAGUAACCCGAGAAUCUGGACACUUAAUUGAGGAGGAGGAAGGAGAAUCUUUGGUUGAUUGUAUGAAGACGGCCAUCGAACACACAGAAAAGGAAUUUGAGAUGCGCAUUGGCCCAACAGACACAAUUAAUAAGGCGAAAAACGAGCCCCAAGAUGGGUUGGAAGAGAUUUUAAUUGACUUAGAAAUAGACGAAGGGUCAUGUGAUCCCAAAGGCAGCAGCAGGACGACAGGAGCUUCAGCAUCAGAGGAAACUUUCCUCAAGGCUGAAGAGCAGAAGAUGACAGAGACUAGCUCCUGUCACGUAGGUGAGCUGACCUCCGAGCAGAACAGAAACAUGGCUCCUAGUUCACUGGAAGACAUAACUGAAUCUGGAUGCUUGAAACGGCACGAUGAGACUGAGGCUGAACUACUUGAAGAUGUAAAAAGACAGGAAGCUGAUGUGAAAGAAGCAGCUAGGGAAGUUGAGCAGGUGGUUGCGGCAGAAGAUGAGAUGCAGAGCCAAAAUGAGAUGGAAUUGUCACAUCAGCAGGUCGAGGAAUCUGUUGGGUCACCGGAGAAGAGCAAUGUACAACCGGACGAAGCACUUGAGAUCAACGAUGAGACUUUAACAGACUCUGAAGCGCCUGAGGAAUCAAAGACGGCAGAGUCCAAAGCAGAAGAUUUCACUUCAGGAGUGGACGAGCGGAGUUGUGCUGAAGAAACUGUCUCCUCAUCCAGCGGAUGUCAGGGUAUGGUCGAUGACGAGGUCCAACAACAAGUAGACCCGCGGACGGGAGAACUAACGGAGCCUUACGAUGAGGAGCAAGGGGAAAUAUCGUCACUGCAGACGGAGAAGGAUGAAGACCAGCGUGUGGAGUCAAAUUCAAGGGAAUCUGAAUUGUUGGGUCACACGGAAACGUCUUCCUCAACAGUAGAGACUGGAUUUGUUCACCAGUCCGGGUCAUUUCAAAGCCUAUAUGACACGUUGGCUAUUGUCUCAGAAUCAGCAGACAUCUCCGAGCUGUCUAGCCUACAACCCAACUGUGAUAUGCGGGACACGUUGAGAGAGGAAGCGGCUGAGACGGGGCAAACGGAUCUGAAGGAGAAGGAAGAAUUCGGAGGGGCAGGAUUUCACCCCGAUUUGGAAGUCCCCUCACCAGAGGCCAGACAUCAGGGAUCCGCUGAAACUGGAUCAGGGAAUGAGAUCGAUGUCGAGGCCUCCGACUCGAAAGACGACGGAGAAGUCGAACCUCAGCCACAGACCGAAAGGAGUUUUCUUUACCAAUUUGAGAAAACCCCGACUGAAGAUGAGCCUCAAGAGUUGGCCGCGUCCGACUCUCCGGAUGAUAUUAAAGGAACAGAACCAGAACAAUCGACAUCCGGCUCAGAGGCGUUGUUAGAGGAUGAAAUAGUGCCGACGGAAUCUCGCUCACAGAGCGACGUCUGCACUGAAUCCGAGAGGAAGCUGCCCUCGGUGGACAAACCCCAGCCCGGGUGGAAUGAAGGAGUUGCCGAGUCAUCCGUUGGGCUCAACAUGGCCGACGGGGCAGAACAUUCAGCGACAACGUCUGAAGAUCAGAUGGAGGUGGAGAGCUCUGCGCUUGACUUUACCGCGCAAAGGUCAAGAAUUUCUGUUAAAAACCCACAUGUACGGCCACCCAAAGAUGCCCGCUCCCUCCUAAAUAUGCCCUCAUUGGAUCCCACACCCUCCCCACACAUGUCUCCCAAAGUCCCUGUAGGUGGGCCUUUGGGAGGCUUGGGCUUUGGAAUAAAACUCCCUGGCCUUGGUGGGGGAUUUCCUGUUUUAAAAAAGACAAAGCUGGUUGGAAGAGAUGAAAAUAGUCCCGAGACCCUAUCACAGGAGACAAAGCCAGAGGAGAGGAGUGACACCGAAGAUGAGACCCAACACAAACCAAAAUGGAUGCCACCAAGACAUCCAGGAUUUGGAAAUCCACUUAUGUCCGAGUUGAAGACCAAACUGAAGAAAACCACAAAAGAGUGAGAAGAAGAUGAAUUGUGAUUAUUGUGUGAGUGAGAAUGUAAUAUGUAAAUUGAGAUAUUUUUGGAACUGAACACAGUGAUGAAAUGUACAUGCCUUGUCAUAAAGCUUAACUAAAGAGUGGUCAUUUUACAUAGCCGUGUUUACAGCAAAUCAAGGAUUAUCUCUCUGGGGUGCGAAAGGACAACAUAAACUAUUGAGGUCCACGUGGUGGACAUGGUUGUGUCGUUGACUGAGUGAACUCAAAAUCACAAACAAUUUCGAUGUGCUAAGAAGCUUAAACUAUUUCUAUUGUGCAGCUCACAACCCCCCAACCCCCCCGGUCUUUGAAAGCUAUCUAUGUAUACCGUGCAAUUAAUAUGAAUUUAACUUGCUAGAUAUAAGAUAUGUAAUAUGUGGCGUACAUAUUUACAAUUUAUUUUGGAAUUCACCAUAAUAAAAAAACAAAAAAAUCUAUUCAAUUUAAAAUGUAAUUUUAUCAAGACAGUAGGUGGCAGUACUACACCAUAACAUGGACAUUCAUUUUAAACACAUGAAGAAGAAACGUUUAGCUGUGAUUGGUCGGAAUUAACCAAUCGACGUGAAGGAAGCUAGUGACGUGUUUUGAACCAGAGCGGCGCUGCAGUUGUGAGUAACUUUAUGAACUUUUCGAUGUUGAGUUUGACACACUGUUGUUCGAUUGGUACGUGUUUCCGUACACGGAUUCGAAUGAAUAAAGAACACUAAUUAAAAGUAUUUCCACGAAUAUAAACCUCCACCAAGAAGCGUCCGGGCUGUUGAGGUAAAGAUGUUUCCGUUCCACCAGCUAACGUUAACACGCUAGCGUUAGCUUAGCCUCCUCUGGGACUGUUUCAUGACAGAGCGUAACGUCGCUAACGUCUCCGUGACCUCUCGAGAUGAAUCUUCAAUAAUUCUUUCUAUCCGCGCGAACUGCGCUGUCUGUGCUCCAGCGUAGUCGGCUGACAUUGCGGUAUUAUUGAAAGACAACAAGGUCAUAUGUCUUCUGCCUCGCUAAACUGAAGGGAAACACAUGUUCAUGUCUGAUCAUAAUUUGCAACCGACACCGGUCAGCGCAUGACCUUUGUCUCUGCUAAUACAGUUUUUUAAAAUUGUCUUAUUGUGUAAACAAGGCGUUUGUUUUGUUGACUGUAACAUAGCCCAGUCGUAAAUCCAGAUUGAUAUGAGAGCUGUAAAUACUUGUGACAUUUUCCCGAUGUAAGUUACGUCAUCUGGUAAUGUCAGUUUUUUUUGUGUGGAUUAAGUCGUUGCAGGCCCGGAGGGUCCUAAUGAACAGCUGGAAAAUGUCUUCUCAGCUGUCAUUCAAUGUCCCAGAUGAAAGCGUGUGCUGGCUGCACGAGGAAUGCUUGCCAGAAGUGACCUUCCUUGAUGUUACAUGUAGUUCACCUCAUCCUGCAGGAAUACCUGCUACACCUGUAACAACCGGGUCUGUGAACAGCAGGUUGAACUCGCUCCAGCCCCCCCAGUCGAGUUCCUCCAUCGACUUACACACCCCUGCUCAGAAAAAGACGCCGGAUCUUCUCAAAUGUUGUUUGAGCCAUCCGAAGGCGGAGAGUGAGGCUAUCGGUGCUAAACCUUCACGACAGAAUGGAACAACAACCUUGUUGGAAACGAGCUCAAGUGACGUUGCUCAAGAAAACUGUUCUGAAUUCCACUCUUCUGAACUGUCAGUCUCUUGCGAUAAGAUGGUUGAUCCCCUUGAGAGUAUGUAUCGUCCGGAGCGCUUUCUGGAUUCCCGAUACUUCCCAGAAAUUACUCUGCUGGAUGUCACGCGUGAAUCAGAGCCCACAGACGGAGCAGAAACCUCUUCAAUGCAUGUCACGCAAGAGAACAUUUUGGAAAGCUCUAGGACCUCGUCGGAGCACAGUGGAUCAAACGAGGUAAAGGUUCACACAUCGGGUGAAGACACAUUUGAUACGCAUCCUUCCAAUGUUACUCAAGACAUAAGCUCCUCGAGUGUUGUGACUGUUCAGUGUGCUGCGUCGGAGUUCUCCACUUCUGACACGCAGUGCGACACCAGUUCAAAGAACGUCGCCUCGGAGCUUCAUGGUGGAUCGAGCACCGAGGAAGCUAACAACAAAGAGCCGCUUUCCUGCCACGAGGCCGAGGAGUUGACAAGCGAGGAGGCGCAGCCGCGCCCGGAAACGUGUGGGUCUGUGAGCAGCGCGUUAACUGCUCUCCAGUCCUCCCAUUCCAGUUCUUCCACCAAUUUAAACACCACUGUUCAAAUACCCAACCCUAAGAAUAUGACAGUGGAUCUUACCCCGUCUAAUGCAAACAGCCCCAAAGGAGAGAGCGAGCCUACAGAUCCGGCUACUUCGGUCUCUAAGGACGCCACUGAAACCUCCCUCUGUAUUAAUCGAACUUUCCCGGCCGUAAAGGCAACAGGUUCGUCUGAUGUGCAGAACAGCAUUUCUGAUGGAAAUUGCCUUCGAAUAUCCUGCGGUAAUACUUUUAUAGGAAACGCUGGCUCUGGGACCCUUCUUCUCCAGAACAACACCUUCGAUGCUAAACCUCCCAAGCAGAACGACACAAUAACUUUGUCAGAAACGAGCCUCCAGAACACUUUUGACAAGUCCACUCCUCCUGGGGUUUGUAAUGCAACGAGUACCCCUAAAGAAAGCAGUUCCAAAGCCCAACCCCCCGAAGAUGAUGGGACAUCAUCGAGCACAGUCCCUAAUACAGAGACGGCUGACACCCCUGACUGCAUGUUGGAAGUUAGUCCAGCGGUUGAAGUGGCUUCUGGCGAUGGUCAAUGCGAGACUACGAACCGAUCACGAUCCAGUCUGCCUUUGACAAAUGGGCUCUCUGACACUUUGGGCCUUCAAAACAUGGAAACGGAAAACAACAAUGAAAACACGUUCAAUUUGGAUGAAUCCCUGGAUUUAAGGGCAGCCAUUUCGAUCACUUCGACGCCGAUGACCACCUGUAAGAUUUUAAGCGUAACCGCCGAACGAGUGGAGGGCAAAACGAUAGCGGCGCAGAAAAGGCUGUAUGGGGAUGGUCCCGCUUUGCCAGCUGGUCCGACGCCAUCAGAUGUUCCGUCAAACAUCGUCUGCGACCGCAAAACGACCUUUGCCCAUCCAGCGGCCAAAUCCCUCCUGCCUCCUUUCAGAGCUGCGUCCCAGCCUUUGAGGCAGAAGCCAGGCGCCGCCGCCCUCCCCGCGAGGUUUGAUGCGUCGACUUCAGGCCUGCCCAUGACGAGGCAAAGGACCCAGGCUGUAGCAGCGAAGAACACGCUUAAUGCAGCCCAGGUAACAGGAUUUGAUUUGCCUUUUUUAAACAAAAAAAGUGUCAACGGCACAUUGUGUUUUAAAGAAAUUGAUCGAUGAACUUGUUUGUCAUGUCAGUUACACCUAAACUCACUUAUUGACUCCAUUUCCUGUUUAUUUAAGGCCACAGGAGUAUCAAGCUCCUACAAAUUGCGGGCUUCUACAACAGGUAGGCGGUGUGUGUGUUCCAUUUUAGGGCUUCUUAUGGUUGCAGUUUUAUCCUUCAUACACGUUGAGGGUAAAUUAAAACCGGAUGGGAUGGGAAUUGUACACAUAUCUUAACUAAAUGAGGAAAUAUUACAACUUUUAGGUAUUUUUUCUUCUUGCUGAUUUAAUUUCUGUGCUGCUUUUAGCCGCACAGAGUAUUCAGUCCUCACUCUCCCCCCUCUGUGCUGACGUUAGGAUUGAAGAUACCCAAUUCAGGCUUGCCGAGACCUCAGUUGAGUGGCAUACCGUCAGGCAUCCAGAGACCUGCAGCAGGUCUCAGGCCGCCAUCAGCUAGAAGCAACGCAGCAUCAUCGUCAUCAUCACACGCUAACAGACCCCGUGGACCGACAGGUACUCGUACAGUGGUGGACUGUUUAUUCAGUUACAAAUAAGACCAAAUACACGUGUGUAACAAUGAAUUAACAUAAAUUUGAAUUUCUUUUGUGUUUUUUUUCCUUUUUUUUUUUUUUUUUUCACCCACAAGCAGCUGCUAACCCAAUGACGAAGGCUACACAUUCAAAGAAGCAGCCCUUAGCCAGAGGUGAAACUUUAGCAAAGAAGAAAAGAAUGGGUAAUAAAAGCUUUCAACCAACCCUUUUUUUCUAUUUCAAAGAACUGCACGGUUAGUAUUUCUACUAAAGCUAAACUAUAAACUCCUACAUCUUAAAUUGUUUUUUUAUGGUUUUCAAAACCGGGGCUUGUAUGUUUCUGGGAAAGUGUGUCCAGUACUCUUGACUUUAUGACUUUAUUUUUGCGUUACUCACCAGAUCUUUAUCACACGCUUUCAGAUCCAUCCAGCACGUCUGCGUUAUCCAGCUCUGCUGCCGAGGUCUCAACGUGUUGCGAUGCUGUCGGCAGACACAAGGCCCUGAAACAGCCCGCGACCAGCCAUCAAGCUCUGCAAGCCAAAGGAAAAGGCCACG